ensembl:lncRNA
GGUUUUUGUACCAGCUGCACGAUAAAACUUUUACUGCUGUAUAUGCUGCAAGCUGUCAAUGAGCAGAAAAACAACAUUUGAGAUAGUUGAAAAUGAUACAAAGACCAUGGAGAUAUAUCUGGGAUAAAUGAACUUUUAAAAGUAUUCUGUGUAGUCUGUCAUUAAAUAUGAGCUCAUAAAAAUGGUAUUUGUAUAACCAUAAAAAUUGCUGAAGCAUGGUUUCUUGGAUUCAUAUGUGGUUGACAUUAACACUCAUUGCUAACUCUGUAGGCCUAUGUGAAAACAGUAUUGCACCUGUAGAACCCUUUUCGGGACAGUUGAGUCAUUUGCCUGCAUGGACAUGAUUAGUUGAGCUCAUAUUGGGCUGGGAGUAAAGUGGUUUCAUAUGAGAGACGUGUGCAUGUUUGAAGAGUUCUGCGAGUAGUAUGUGUCUUUAAUGCUGUGAAUCUUUCAGUGGAUGAUUUUCAAAGACAAUGAAAAGAGCUUCAUUAAGACCUCAACAACUCAAAGAGAAGCUCCUUCAGGCCAUCGAUGCUCAAAGUAACAUUUUUAGAGGAUUGAGUAUGCAAGCAUAUCACAUUUGCAUUUGCAAACAACUGUUGACUGGGAUCUGAAAGAGUCACUGCUGGUCUGGGGACUGCUGCAGGUCCACAUGUGAGAGCAGAUUCAAAUACAUGAGGCCCAUCUACUUUCAUGAGUAUGACCAGCCUUAGAAAAAAAGACAGGAACAGACUCACUAAGCAUUACCCAUUAUAGGAUUUCUUUUUUCUUCUUUUUUUCAUUGCAUAGAGAAUAUUAUGAAAGCAUGGAAGUGACUUUAGCUUAACGUCUACCUGUCAGCAGAUAGAGAACACAUUGGCUGUAUUGGAUGUGAUAUGCUGCCUGGAAAGUUACCCCAUGACUAAAGAGGCUCUAGUGGAAACCAGGCUUGGAAAGUUGAUCAAUGAUGUGAGAAAAAGGACCACAGAUGAAGAUCUUGUUAAACGUUUAAAAAAUCUGAUACGACAUUGGCAGAGGCUGGUUGGAGGAAAUGAAGUCACCACAGAAGAGCUCUCAAGCUUUGCAGUCAAUUCGACUUCUGCUGAAUGUAUUCCUGGAUCAACACAAACCCUUACUGAAAAUUACCACAGUAACAUGAGUGAGAGGGUUGAAAUGUCUCAGGGUUCGGUACCAGAUAAAACCAAUUAAUAUCCAAACAAUUUUAGAAAGAGUAAAAUACCUGUCCAUGCGAUCAAACCAUAUUCAUCGUCCAUCGAGCUUUUACAACAGUCCACAAGCUGGAGAACAUCUCUGUCCAAUUAUCAUUCCCAAAAUGACCAUUAUACCAUUAUCAAAGACGAGUGCAGGUCUGAAAGAAACACCACCCCUGCCAGUCACAGCGACGAAAAGCACUUUUUGGCAGCCACGGAACCAGCACAAUCCACUUCCAUUACUUCUCAUCUUCCAAAUUCAUUUUUCCAAGAUACACAUGUAAAGAUGCAACAUCCUUCAGACCUCCUCAACAUACUCAAACCUGCUACACUAAAUGGUAACCUCGAUGAGGUCUCCAGCACAGUGACAGACACAAACAUAAGGCGUUUUGAGAAUAAGAUGAGGAAGAAACAGUAUAA